rnacentral:rRNA from 1 species
ACGCACGCUGGCGGCGUGCUUAACCCAUGCAAGUCGAACGGAAAGGCCCUGCUUUUGUGGGGUGCUCGAGUGGCGAACGGGUGAGUAACGCGUGAGUAACCUGCCCUUGACUUUGGGAUAACUUCAGGAAACUGGGGCUAAUACCGGAUAGGAGCUCCUGCUGCAUGGUGGGGGUUGGAAAGUUUCGGCGGUUGGGGAUGGACUCGCGGCUUAUCAGCUUGUUGGUGGGGUAGUGGCUUACCAAGGCUUUGACGGGUAGCCGGCCUGAGAGGGUGACCGGCCACAUUGGGACUGAGAUACGGCCCAGACUCCUACGGGAGGCAGCAGUGGGGAAUAUUGCACAAUGGGCGGAAGCCUGAUGCAGCAACGCCGCGUGCGGGAUGACGGCCUUCGGGUUGUAAACCGCUUUCGCCUGUGACGAAGCGUGAGUGACGGUAAUGGGUAAAGAAGCACCGGCUAACUACGUG